rnacentral:rRNA from 1 species
UACGUAGGGUGCAAGCGUUGUCCGGAAUUAUUGGGCGUAAAGAGCUCGUAGGCGGUUUGUUGCGUCGGCUGUGAAAUCCCCAGGCUCAACCUGGGAACUGCGUCCGAUACUGGAUGGCUUGAAUCCGGGAGAGGGAUGCAGAAUUCCAGGUGUAGCGGUGAAAUGCGUAGAUAUCUGGAGGAAUACCGGUGGCGAAGGCGGCAUCCUGGACCGGCAUUGACGCUGAUGAGCGAAAGCUA